GGUGGGGUGGCCGAGUGGUCGAAGGCGCACGCCUGGAAAGUGUGUAUACGGAAACGUAUCGAGGGUUCGAAUCCCUCCCCCACCGCCA
rnacentral:tRNA from 1 species